rnacentral:misc_RNA from 1 species
UCCGGUUUGACACCGGCAGUCUCUCCAGAGUCCCCGCCAUAACGCGCUGGCAACUGGAGAUAGGGGUUUCGCUCGUUGAGGGACUUAACCCGACACCUCACGGCACGAGCUGACGACAGCCAUGCAGCACCUGUGCAUGUUCCACUCAAAGAGUGUUACCCGCCUUUCGACGGGCUAAUCCAUGCAUGUCAAGCCCAGGAUAAGGUUCUUCGCGUUGCCUCGAAUUAAGCCACAUGCUCCACCGCUUGUGUGAGCCCCCGUCAAUUCCUUUGAGUUUUAAUCUUGCGACCGUACUCCCCAGGCGGUGCACUUAAUGUUUUUACGUCGUCCCCGAGAACGUCAGAGCUCCCAGGAACUAGUGCACAUCGUUUAGGGCGUGGACUAC